GAGAGGUCCCCACACACAUACGCUUUAAGUGAAUGCCUUAAUGUCAGUACGUGGAAGUCUGUUAGGGAUAAAGUGUGUAUUCAGCUACAGGCAGUACUUUAAUGACAAAAAUUCAUUCCGUGUUGGUAAACCUGCAACUGUGUUGCGUUUAAAAUGAGACUGUGUGGCACUUGGAGGUUAGAAAACCUUGUAGCCUUCAAACGGAGUAACGAGAAGAACUGAAGAACUAUCAGUUAAUGUUUAUCACCUCAGUAAUACAAUAUGUGAAGCAACAUAAUGCAAUGUUCUUCGUAAUUUCAUUCAUUAGAUGAAGAAUAUUUUCAGUUGAACAAUUGGUCAACUAAUAAAUAUGUACCAAGCUUGGUUACGGCACAAUGCCGACCGAAGAAAAGUAUCACGAAUGAAAAAAGCAUUGAUUGAAAAACAAAGGAGAUCUAAUCGGACGAUCCUUGCAAUUAAUUCUGCAACCUAGGCGACGCAGAUUAUUUCAACGUCUUGUUGGGUACAUCCUGAACUCGUGUUGCGUGAACAUGGCAAAUUUUGGGAAACAGCCAUCCCUAACUACACAGAUGAAUGAUUUCGGAAAUAAUUUUCGCUUUAAAAAGGCAACAUUUAUGAAUUUGUGCAACAUGCUUAGGCCCUGCCUGUUAUAACACAACACUCUUAUGAGAGAGGCUAUUGUGCUUGAAAGGAGAGUGGCGGUCGCCUUGACGUUUUUGAAGGAAAACUGUGACUUUUGGUCCAUUGCUGAUUUAUAUGGAAUUGGAAAAUGUACCGUAGGAUGUCUGUUAUAUGAAUUUUGUGAAGCGGUGCUUGCACAUUAUUAUGAUGACGACAUCAAGUUUCCCGAUACUGAAGUGGAAAGAUUAGCUAUAAGCAGAGGUUUCAUGAACAGAUGCCAAUUCCCUGAUUGUUUUGGUGCGAUGGACUGAACUCGUAUUCCUAUAUCAGCACCUGCAGACCAUCCCGAGGAUUAUUAUAAUUAUAAAUCAUUUCAUUCGAUCGUCGCGUUAUGCGCUGUUGAUUACAAGUAUCGGUUCACGUAUAUAAACAUUGGCGCCCCUGGAUGUUGCAAUGAUGCAUCAAUUUUCCAUAGAAGUGCAUUAUUCAAAAAAUUCUCUGUAAAUAAUGAGACUCUUAAUGGACAAACAACUAAUCUGCACAUCAUAUCUGAUGCAGCUUUUCCUUCGUUAACAUGGCUGUUGAAACUUUAUCCCAUAACCAACGAAAUAUCGCUCAUGAAUCGAAAUUUCAAUUAUAGGUUCAGUAGCGCAAGGAUGACAGUAGAGAAUGCUUUUGGUCCGUUAAAAGGGCGUUGGAGAAUACUAUUAAAAAGAGCAGAUUUGAACCUCGAAAAUAUGAAACAAGUGCAAAGGUUUGCUUUGUUUCACAUAACAUUUGUGAAAGUCAUAAUGAAGUUUUUCACCUCGAAUGGCUUGAAAAGGUUAGAGCUGAAGAAAACAGAAUGGCAAACAUACCUACUAUCCCAGUUCUUGAUAAUAGAGCUUCUACAGUAGCUGAAAUAAAAAACAAGAUAUGAUCACGGAGCGCUUGACGAACAAUGGAAUGUCUACAUUAGAUUGUUAAGAAUCAAGUAUUUUCAAUUUAUAACGUG
rnacentral:lncRNA from 1 species